AUUGAACGCUGGCGGCAGGCCUAACACAUGCAAGUCGAGCGGAUGAAGGGAGCUUGCUCCUGGAUUCAGCGGCGGACGGGUGAGUAAUGCCUAGGAAUCUGCCUGGUAGUGGGGGAUAACGUCCGGAAACGGGCGCUAAUACCGCAUACGUCCUGAGGGAGAAAGUGGGGGAUCUUCGUACCUCACGCUAUCAGAUGAGCCUAGGUCGGCUUAGCUAGUUGGUGGGGUAAAGGCCUACCAAGGCGACGAUCCGUAACUGGUCUGAGAGGAUGAUCAGUCACACUGGAACUGAGACACGGUCCAGACUCCUACGGGAGGCAGCAGUGGGGAAUAUUGGACAAUGGGCGAAAGCAUGAUCCAGCCAGGCCGCGUGUGUGAAGAAGGUCUUCGGAUUGUAAAGCACGUUAAGUUGGGAGGAAGGGCAGUAAGUUAAUACCUUGCUGUUUUGACGUUACCAACAGAAUAAGCACCGGCUAACUUCGUG
rnacentral:rRNA from 1 species